rnacentral:lncRNA from 1 species
UUAGAACAUAGACACGAGAAUGCAGCCAGAAACAGAGGCAGGAUUUGUUUGUCCUGCUUCACCUCAGGCGGCAGCAGGACGGAUGUCCGCUUCCUUCUUUGGGGAGCAGGCGGAUCUUGUCCAUUUGGACUUGGGAUAUGACCAGGAGUGGGAUUCUAGAGUGAGCAGUACCCUCAAGUCCCCAGAAGGGCUGGUCAGAUGGAAAGAAUUUAAGAGAGGUAAGAGAAAGCAAGAGAUAGGUGUUAUGUGGGAAAAGAGAGGCACAGCAACUGUUUUUGCUGAUUAUGCAAACUGAUAGUAGAUACGUGAGGUUGGUCCUGCCACAGGGUAGGUGUUCAGUAAAGAGUCUAUGGGCGAGGUCUGCUAAUGGAAACUGGGGGUGGGCAGAGAAGUAGGUGUUGAAAGAUGGAAGUCGCCCAAGUCUCCCCCUGAAUCUUCUUUCUGUGGAGUUGUACAGACUGUCAUGGCUGGAACAGGAGAGAAUGGAGUCCCAGCAACCACUUCCUGAUGUUCUGAGUUGAAACUUGGACUUUCUGUUUUAAUUUCAAAAGCAGAGUUGAAUGUGGUGAUGAGAUUUCAUGGUACUCCUAGUGCACCGCUGUACUCCAGGCACAAAAUGAGUUAAGGAAGCAUUCUGGGGGUUGGCUUAGAAUCUAACCACAAUGUUUCUAUGGCAAAUUGACUACUAAUUUGCCAAUAGUCAACUUAGAAAUGCCUUUUAGAAUCAAAACAUAUUCACUGAGGGCUAACUGAACUAGCUAUUUCAGAUUUUGCAUAAAACUCAAAUGGCUCGAACUUUUCUGAAUUAGGGCCUUCAAAGAAAGUAGAUGGAAUACAUCCUAUUCCAACAGGCUUGACCUCAUUACAGGUUGGUUUGCCCAUAGGGAACGAGGCAAUAAAGUCUGAUACUCUGGUGGUACUAACACCCUCUGGAUGUUUGUAGAAGGAGCAACUGUGGGCCAAGUGAAUAAGAAAAGAGGAAGUUCCCGAACCACUUGCAAAGGGUUGAGGCUGAGGAACAGAUGUCUCUGGGCUGCCCAGAGUCUGCCACAUGGCCCAGCAGUGCUACCGCUGUUGAAACCCCAAGUCUACAACUCAGGGUGGUCUGGAAGUGAAGGAUUGCUUUCCUGAGAGUGGUUUCAAGAAUGUAGCUCCUCACCUAAUAAAAAGAAUGUGCAAUGAUUAGCCCGGUCUAAUAUUAGCAUCUGCAAAAUAAAAAGCAAUGGGGCCUGCCAUGAAAGAGAACAAACUUUGCACGCACCCACUGCCAGGUAAAAUCUGUUCUUUUUCAGCCAUAAAUCUUUCUUGGAAGCCUGAGGAGAAUUUCACCUCUGUCAGAAACAGAAACCAAAGAGGAAAAACAUGCUGUUUUGGAGAAGAAAGCACCUUGAGUUUAAAGCUCUUGUUCUUUUCUGUCUCUUUUGCUGGUUUCUUUCUAAUGGUGCCCUUGACUUGGUUAUACCUUGCAUUGUUUUCCAUAGGAUGGGGCAGCAGCGGGAAAAGGUCAGGAUGGGCCAUUUGCUUCUGGCUUUAGCUUUAGUCAGAGAACUAGUAUCUGACAUGGAAUCUCACUGUUAUCCAAGGUAUGCCCUUGGUUAAACUUUUUUGAACACCAAACCUUUGAUAACUGUGGAGGCUAUAUUAAUAGAUUUUAUGGUUUUCCUAAACUCAAGAAACCACUAAGUGAGAGGCAAAAGUUGAACUGACUUGUUCAUCACACUAGGUUACCAGAGAUUCAAAUUAGUAGUAGCCACUUUAUUUAUAUUAUUUAAUUCGUCUUCAUAAGGUCCUUUGAUGUAGGGCAGUGGUUCUCAAAGUAUGGUGUUCACAAUAUCAGUGUCACCCGAGAACUUGCUAGAAAUGCAUGUCCUUGGGUCCCACUCCAGACUUACUGGGCCAGCAAUCUGUGUUUUAGCAAGUCCUCUGAGUGUUUCAGAUGAAUACUAAGGUUUGGAAAACACUGAUGUAGGAGGAAUUAUCACCACGGAAUUUAUUAUAUACUAUCAUAUAUUGGAUCUUUGAAGUCCCUUCGAGCUAAAACUUUCCAUGUUAAAUUCUAGAUUUCCCAGGAUCUUCAGUACCAUGAUCACUGAAUGUUCUCUAUAGAUGCUGCAUCUCUGAGGAAGUAGUCAUCCUGUACUUUCCUUCCUCCUUCUCUCCCUUCUUUCCUUCUCCUUCCCUUUUUUUUUUUUUUUCCCUGGGCUGUGUCACUUUAGGCAAUAUUCUCUUCCCCUGUACCUAUAUUUUAGAUAGAGCCAACAAUCAAGUAGAUCUUAUCUCACCUAUCCUUUGGUAGGCUACUUAACCCAGGCUGGCCAAUCAAAGUACUCUGUUCCCUGGACAUAGUGAUUGGUCCAGAGGUCCCAGCAGAGCCAUAGAAUCUUUGGGGUGGAGGAGAUCGACAUGAAGUCUACGAAGAGAGACUCUCCCUAUUCCUGACUUUGUGAGCACCAGGAAACCUGGUGCUCCUGGUGCUCACAGGUGAACUUGGAACUUCUGGGAGGUACUUUUGCUCCCAUAUGGAGCAGCCUGGGAGUGAAGCCAACUCCAAGAAGGCAAAGCCGUUUUGGAGGGAGAGAGGGCUGGGAGCUGAUGUCAUCUUUUGAAUCUAGAGCUUCACCAUGCCCUGAAGCCAGAGUCUGCUCUCUCCUUGGACUUCAUAUUCAAUUUAACAUUCUCUGUGAAUACCUUACCCUUAGAUCCUGGGGACACUUACAUCAAUGUUUUCUUCAUUAUUACAAAAAUAAGAAAUACAAAUCUUACCUUAGUAGAGCUGUGUCACGUAGAAAGUCAAAGUGCCUGUGAUGACCCUCACAUGCUUGGAAAUCACUAUACUCUAUGGUUUUAUGCAUAUUCCUUUAGAUUUUUCUCUCAACAUACUAUUGAAGUGGGAUGUUGAGAGUUUUCUUGAAGUCUCAGUUUUUCUAGAGGUCCAUAAAUCGAGUGUAAGACAACAGGUGUGAAUGCCUAUAUUCUAGAAUGAGCUUAUCAGACUUGCAAAGUGAGUGACCCAGAUCUGCUAUUAUUAAGCUCAUGUAAGACGUAAUUUAUUUAUUUUCAAAAACGCUCUAAGUAAUGAGGAGACUGACAAGGUUAAUAGAGGCACAUCUCUGGAUAAGAUUUUCAGCAUGACGGCGAUAACCCCCAUCCUGUGGUGGGGGCAGAGAACACUCCCUUUCAUCCUAAGCCAAGUGGGGGAGGGGCCGUCAAGAAAUUUGUGGGAUGUGGUACUUGGCACCUCAUCAUCUCUCAUUCUUACUUUCAGGGCAGCAGAGGGAAGAGCAAGACUGAACUCAUAAUUUGAUUUGAUUUGACUUGAUUUCCUCUCUGACUGUCUGCCAACUGUUUCUAAUUUGGAACCGUUGCAAAAUGUGAAGUCAUUCAGCCGAAUGCAUCUAUUUGGUUUGGGUGACACUUGAGAAACCUUCCUCUGUCACAUCCAAUCAUGCAUUUCCCCUUCAAACCCAUGACCUUUCUUUUCUACUCUCCUGUCAUUGCCCCCAUUCUGGGUUAUCUCUACUUAGCAGAGCACAAAUGGGGUUAUCAUCGUGUGGAGUGAUUUGGUGGGACCAGUUGCAUGUACAGUGACUUUAGUAACGAGUGCACAGACAGUGGAAGUCUUUGGAGUAAUUUCCAGAUCUACAUUCCAGUUAAUGUCAGAACUUUCGGGAACGAUAAUUAUUUUUCUGGCCUCUAUAUACCUCCCUUUCCAUCCUCAGUUUCUUCUCCCUGAAUGCAAAUGAACUGCACUGUAUAAAGUUUUGAAUUCUGCCUCUAAUAUCUCCCCUUACCGACUUCCCUCUUUCCUAAGCAUGUAUGCUUUAAGUUCUACUCCCUUUUAAGUAUUGAAAGACCACUAUUUAUAACAACCAUUUAUCAACUUUGAAUAAGUACAUUUUUUUAUUUCUGCCUCAUAAUAUCCCUGUGAGGUAUUACCGUCUCCAUUUUGAAAAGAGGAAAAUGGAGGCUCAGAGAGACUGAAUGAUUUGCCCUGCAACACACAGCAAGUUAGUAGUGGAAGGAGGACCAAAACACAGAUUUUCCUUACAACACUAUCACCUAGCUACCUACUCUCUGAAGCCACAGAAUUAUACUCUAUCCACCAGCUUCUGCUCUUUCUCUCUUCUCUUUAAUUCCAUCAUUUCCCUUUACGCUCCCUAGAGUUUCCGGAAACUCUUUCAGAAGUUUCUAGGAGAGGAAGUUAUAUUUCAAGUAGUCUAACCCUGGUCAGACUGAGGGCUGCUGGCCUACAAAGGAAUUUGGCGGGGGGGGGGGAAUUGCUUCUAGAGUGAUCAAUCCAACUUGAAUAUUUGAGACUUCUGUUCAAUUAACUUUUCUUCAGAAGUGUUUUCUUUUUUUAAAGGAAAAAUGUUUCCCUCUGAACAGAACAGAGUUGAAAUUCCCAUUUAUGGGAUGGAGGAGAUUUCUUUGAAAAAAUAAGAAUUUUCUAAAAAACAAGAACUUGAGCAAAAAUUAAAAAUAUGUUGGUAAAUUAAGAUAUUCACUCAAAAAAAUCACUGUUUCAUUACCACCCUGUAUAUGUUUAUAACAUAUUUACUUUCCUUUUCCCAUAUUACUCUUGGCACUAGCAUCUUUAACGAAAUCUCUGUCCUAUGUAAUUGUUUUUUCGGUAACCUUUCAGUUAAAAAGAGAAAAAAGGAUGACUGAAUUAACAUUGCUCAUUUGGGAGUUCCUGUCCUGGUGCAGCGGAAACGAAUUCGACUAGGAACCAUGAGGUUGCAGGUUCGAUCCCUGGCCUCGCUCAGUGGGUUAAGGAUUCGGUGUUGCUGUGAGCUGUGGUGUAGGUGGCAGACACAGCUUGGAUCCUGCAUUGCUGUGGCUGUGGUGUAGGCUGGCAGCUACACCUCCAAUUAGGCCCCUAGCUUGGGAACCUCCAUAUGCCGUGGGU